rnacentral:tRNA from 1 species
GGGCAGGUGCCUAGCGGCCGAGGGGCCCGCCUGGAAAGUGGGUAGACGGCGCAGGCUCGAAUCCUGCCUGUCCGCCA